rnacentral:tRNA from 1 species
CGGGAUAUAGCCAAGUGGGAAGGCGGGGCAUUUGGGAUGCUCAGGUCAUAGGUUCGAAUCCUAUUAUUCCGACUA